AUGGCCAUAUCUCGUUGAAAAAUCGGUUUCAGUAUGAUCACCGAAUUUAAGCAACGUCGAGCCGUGUCAGUACCUAGAUGGGUGACCGCUUGGGAAUAGCAGGUGCUGUAAG